CCUACGGGUGGCAGCAGUGAGGAAUAUUGGUCAAUGGACGAGAGUCUGAACCAGCCAAGUAGCGUGAAGGAUGACUGCCCUAUGGGUUGUAAACUUCUUUUAUAUGGGAAUAAAAUGUUCCACGUGUGGGAUUUUGUAUGUACCAUAUGAAUAAGGAUCGGCUAACUCCGUGCCAGCAGCCGCGGUAAUACGGAGGAUCCGAGCGUUAUCCGGAUUUAUUGGGUUUAAAGGGAGCGUAGGUGGAUUGUUAAGUCAGUUGUGAAAGUUUUGGGCUCAACCGUAAAAUUGCAGUUGAAACUGGCAGUCUUGAGUACAGUAGAGGUGGGCGGAAUUCGUGGUGUAGCGGUGAAAUGCUUAGAUAUCACGAAGAACUCCGAUUGCGAAGGCAGUUCACUGGACUGCAACUGACACUGAGGCUCGAAAGUGUGGGUAUCAAACAGGAUUAGAUACCCGAGUAGUC
rnacentral:rRNA from 1 species